rnacentral:misc_RNA from 1 species
GAUGAAGAAUGCAGUGAAAUGCGAUAAGUAAUGUGAAUUGCAGAAUUCAGUGAAUCAUCGAAUCUUUGAACGCACAUUGCGCCCGUCAGUAUUCUGGCGGGCAUGCUUGUUCGAGCGUCAUUACGCCCCUCAAGUCCCCUGUGGACUUGGUGUUGGGGAUCGGCGAGGCUGGUUUUCCAGCACAGCCGUCCCUUAAAUUAAUUGGCGGUCUCGCCGUGGCCCUCCUCUGCGCAGUAGUAAAACACUCGCAACAGGAGCCCGGCGCGGUCCACUGCCGUAAAACCCCGCAACUUUUUAUAGUUGACCUCGAAUCAGGUAGGACUACCCGCUGAACUUAAGCAUAUCAAUAAGCGGAGGA